UGCCCAGCAACUCCUAUCCCUACCUCCACGCGGUACCGGCCGGAAACUAUGAGCAACCUAAGGGAAGAUCGGGUAACCAACCCCGGUGGGACCUUUGGUCGUAGGCUGACAGGGAAGG
rnacentral:ribozyme from 1 species